UUAAGGUGACGCUGCCGUGGUGUUCGGGAAGCCGGUGUGAUGCCGGCGCGGCCCUCGCCACUGUGAUCGGGAAGUCCGCGGCCCUCGUCGUGAAGAGGUCACUGGGCGUACGCGCCUGGGAAGGCCGGCCGUGGACGCACCUCCCGUCAGCCAGGAGACCGGCCACGGCACUGCGAUGACC
rnacentral:ncRNA from 1 species